GUAAGAUGGCUGCGAAAACUUUUGCCUCACGCUUCAGAGGCUCCCGACGCUUUUUGAGUGGCUUCGUGGCUGGAGCCGUCGCGGGCGCUAUGGGAACCGGGCUAACUGUCGUGCAGUUCCUCCGGAGUCAGGACUCUGGGUCAGCGUUGGCAGUGAGGGAGCCGGACGGUUCUGCAGAAAGGGCUCUCUUAGAACAAUUUGGAUUCCCUUUAACUGGAACAGAGACGAGGUGCUACACUAACCAUGCCUUGUCUUAUGAUCAGUCAAAGCGGGUGCCUAGAUGGGUUCUUGAACAUAUAUCCAAGAGCAAGAUAACGGGUGAUGCAGACAGAAAACAUUGUAAAUUCAAGCCAGAUCCCAGCAUCCCUCCAGCCUUCAGUGCCUUCAACGAGGACUAUGUUGGCAGUGGGUGGUCACGAGGACACAUGGCUCCAGCAGGAGAUAACAAAUUCUCAUCUAAAGCCAUGGCUGAAACCUUUUACCUUUCUAAUAUCGUGCCUCAGAAUUUUGAUAAUAAUGCUGGUUAUUGGAACAGAAUAGAAAUGUACUGUCGAGAACUGACAGAGAGAUUUGAGGACAUCUGGAUAGUAUCUGGACCGCUGACCUUACCUCAGACUGGGAGCAAUGGAAGGAAAACAGUUAGUUACCAGGUGAUCGGCAAGGACAAUGUGGCGGUGCCCUCCCACCUCUACAAGGUGAUCCUGGCGCGCAGAAGCCCGAGGUCUGCUGAGCCCCUGGCACUAGGGGCCUUCGUGGUGCCCAACAAGGCCAUUGGCUUCCAGCCCCAAUUAAGUGAGUUCCAGGUGAGCCUGCAGGAGCUGGAGAAGUUGUCAGGACUGGUGUUUUUCCCUCAUCUGGAUAGGACUAGUGACAUCGAGAACAUCUGCUCGGUGGACACCUGUAAGCUCCUGGAUUUCAGGGAGUUCACUCUGUACCUGAGCACAAGAAAGAUUGAGGGAGCCCGAUCGGUACUCAGACUGGAAAAGGUCAUGGAAAAUUUGCAGAAUGCAGGCAUUGAACCUGAUGAGGACUUCAUGACUCGCUACAAGAAGAAGCUGGGAGAACUCAAAGCUCAGGAGCAGUCAGGAGUCCUGGAGAGAAAGCCCUCGUAGUUCACCUCUCAGAAGCGUGAUGUCGUCUGUAAUGAAGCAGGUGCGGCCUCUUCAGAUACUGUAUUUUAGUGGCUUUGUUUUAAAAUGAUGGAAUCCUAAAUUUCAGACUAAAUUUCUCCCCAAAAGAUGUCAAAUGUUUUGGUUGGUAUUUUAUUUGACGUGGGAAAGUAAGGAAACUGUUAACGCCUGCAGAUCAUGGGCUGGUCUUGUAUCAAGUUGACAGGAGGGCUGUGUCUGUGGAAUGAUGCUGUGUGCGUGUCCCUCUAGAUGUAUUGUAUGUGAAGGCGUUAUAUUUUCUGCCUCCAAAUCGUACAGUGUCUUUGAUGUAUCUGCUCAGCUUUCUUGGAACCCAAGAUUGUAUGUGUUUUUUCCCUGGGACUUGAGCUGGUCUUAGAGAUGGCUCUUAGAUAACCUGUAUGCAUUGUCCUGACCACGUGUAUCAUAUAUUUGUUUCUUGUUCCUCCUCUCAUGGGCCUGCUGUUCCUCCUCUUCUGUUAUGCAGAAGCACUCAACAACUACAUUUUCUGCUCACUUAGUGUGUUCUGCGUACUAAGCUCAGUGCUUUACAUGUAUUAUCCUACAACUACCCUCUGAGGGAAAUACCACUAUCCUCAUUUUACCCAUGAGGAAAUUGAGGCUUAGAGAGCUAAAGUAUUUUGCCCAAGAUUCAUCUUCCCAAAGAAGUAAUCCACAAGGAAUGAGGCAUAUAACAUGGGGUACGUUAAAAUCUUCCCUGACACAGAGGCUCAAAGACAUACUUCUGUGGGUGUCUGUGAUCCUGGGGCUUGCUUGGUAAGAGGGGUCUGGUUUCUUGUCUGCAGUCGAGCCAUAGGGACUUUAAUGUCCUCUGACUUGAACUCUCCUUAGUUCUUUGGGAAGAAACAACCACAGGUAUUUGAACGUUAGAGGACAGUGCUUCAUGGGGUUUAUCUGAGUCCCUGCUUGCCUUCAGAAAUGCAAUUCUUCUAGUGCCUGGCUGGUGCCAAAUGGUUGUGUUCCUUGCUUUCCAGAUGGGCUUUUUGUGAAUCUGCCCGCAGAUUCACCAGCUCAUGGCUUGCUCGCCUUUGUGCCUGCCUGUCUACCCGGUUGGCCCAAAGACCCAAAGACAGUUACCUCUGGGGGAAACAGUGGCUGUUUUUCUGAGCCAGAUCUCUAGAUUUGGGUUUACGUGGAAUCCUUUCAUGGGCUGUCAUAAGUGCAGGCAGUAAACUAUCUUCAAAUAGAGCACAGGAACUUGUCUGACUGUGUCCUGUCAGUACUGUCUUUCCAAGUGGUGUUACCAGAACAGUUUUUGUGGUGUUUUUGUGUUUGUCUCUAACAGAAAUGCCAAGGUGUUAAGAUAAAGGUAAGAUGAGAAUGGUUGAUCUUGUUCUGCUUUAUUUGGGUAAACAAGAAAGAAGUUGGGGGGGGGGGUCAGAACACUUCAGCCCAAUUAAUACCGGCUGUUUUAUCACACUGUUCCCCAUUAGCUUGUGUCAGUCUUUUUCUUCUCAGGGAGAAAGAGCCAAAAUGUCACUGUGACCAAAAAAAUCUGUUACUUUUUCUCCUUCUUGAAGAGGUGACGGUGGGGUCUGGGUGUUUUUCCAGGAGCCCGAGGGCGGCUCUGUGGGAGAGGUUCUACCACCAUCUCCAGAGUAACAUCUUUAUUUCGAGACUUCAGGCUCUUUGGUCUAUGGACUGAGACUAUCUCACCUAUAUCGUAUGCAGCAAAGGGGGACCUUACACACGUGGCAAAGGACUUAGAAUAGAGCCCAGCAGGAGAUACAGAGUCUGAUCUCAAGGGAAUGAAUGGCUUCCUACAGAGCUGGGCUCAGCCUGCAGCCCUGCUCUUGGAGUGACUGAAAUCAAAUGAUCAGUGCAUGAAGAAGACUGACUAGAGGCCCAAGGACACAGCAAAUAUCAAGGUCAUCACACAAACAUCAGCCCCACAGCACCCCUAAAGCCCAGAACCUAAAGAAGCAAAAGAGGGGACAAACUGCCUUAAAAAGGACAUUAGGUCAUGUAUACUCCCUGCAAGAGUGUAUCAGAGGGCUUGUUUCCACUGAUAUUGACAAGAGAAGAGAUGCUACAAAGGCAGUUUAAGUUUCCAAUAUAAUGGGGAAAAAACCAUUACACUGGCAUUGUAAUGUAUGUUCCCCAACCAUCUUUGAGGUUGGGUGCCUCUUCAUAUGUAAAAUGACCGUUUUUAUUUCUUUUUCAGUGAAAUUUAAUUUCAUAGGUUCCAAAUAUUUUUAUUUGGUCACUUCUAUUUUUUGUCUUGAGAGGCAAUUCAAAUAUACUUUAUAUCUGUGGUGUCUUCUCCUACAGCAUCCUUCCAAGUCAAUUACUGUCCGCCCAGUCACUAAAAAAUUUGUCAAGGAACUUGUUUUCACAGGUCAUCCACCACUCAAGACACCAUGAGUGUCUCGAUAUGAGGGCCAUCUGCCUUGAACAGCCUUACAUCAAGAACUCUGUACUGAGCUCUUUGCUCUCAACUUGUGGACCAGAUAAAGGACAGGAUGAGGGUAUCAUUAUUACCUCACAACCUGCACCCAAGCACAUUGGUCACUGCUCAAACAUCAUUGCCAAGGUGACAGACAACAGGCCUGGGAUCUUCUCCUGUGAUGUCCCCAGCUUGCCACCAAGACAUCUGGUCUGGACCAUGUCAUCAACCACAAGGCACAACUCAAGUGUCCUGAAGUAGACUCAGUGUGUGGACCAGAGCCUGUCAAACAUAAAUGUGACCAGGACUCCAAACUCAGGCCCCAGGCAAGAGAUCUUCCCAGGUCUCCAUCCAGUUUUGCUAGAACCUCCCCUCCACCCGACCCCCUACUCUACCCCCAAUAAAGUAAGACUCGGGUCCUUAUUUUCCUCUGGGGACACUCAGAGACCUGAUCUGUGGAAUUGUCCAUAGUCUUCAUCCUCUUUCCAGUACAAUUGGACUUGGAUACACACAGGCACAUCAAAUGACCAUAAGGCCACCUGCCCCAGUGCUAAGCACCGACUCCCAGCCUCUACCCAACUCACCUUGCCUGAGCCCAAUCCAGGCCUGCACUGUCCCCCAACCCCCACCAUCUAUGCACAUUCCAGACCAACCCCCCAGAAUUGUCUUCAUGAUGGGACAAGGGAUGGGGGAAGGGCUCCAGGUUCAGAACAACUUUCCUUUCAUCCUCCUGAGAAGCCUGCUCCUACAAGUCAGAUGUUUCACAUCGUAGAGGAAUCUGGGUGAUCCUACCCCAUGUCCCAGUCCAUGUUCUCCAUGAGGACCCUCUGGUCUCCUCCUCUGAGGAGAGUGAUCCGUCCCACCCCAAGUCACGGAAGACUCAGCCUCCAGGCUAACAUGUCUUAGAGGGGACUACUGCGGUAAAAGAAAGGAGAAAAGAGCAGAAUUUGUCUCAUGAAUUAGCACUUCCCCAGGUGUGGUUUAUGUACAAAUUUCAGAACACCGAAUACCACUGAGAGUUUCACAGCCCAUUUCAUGUAAUGUUAUGAAUGUUGUAAAUUUAACUUAUGUUUUA